CGCCUCGCGACGCCAUUUUCCCCCGGCGAUGCCUCCUCCUCCUCCUCCUCCUCCGCCUCCUUCCACCGACUCGCACGCGGCGCUGCUGCACUCGAUCAGCACCCUCGCUUCAUACAGCGAUACCCUCGCCGACUUCCUAGAUCAGUGGAACUCCGUCAUCCUCGACGUCGCCUCCAUCGGCGCCACGUUCGCUGCCCUAUUCCCGGGCCCCGGUUCCGACCCUAAACCCUACCAUCCCGCGCCGGAGCCGGACAGGGAGCCCGAGCCCCCUCUCGCGCCACAGCCUGAACCCGGACCCAAUGCCGCGCCGGCGCCCGAGCCGCGGUGGGAGCGGGAGCCCAGUCCCUCCCCGGGCCCCGGUUCCGACCCUAAACCCUACCUCCCCGCCCCCGCGCCGGAGCCGGACAGGGAACCCGAGCCCACUCUCGCACCGCCACAGUCUGAACCCGGACUCAAUGCCGCGGCGGCGCCAGAGCCGCGGUGGGAGCGGGAGCCCAGUCCCUCCCCGGAGCCCGCACCCGCGCCCAACCCCGACCGCGAGCGCAAGGACGGCGGAGGCGCAGGCGCCGCAUCCGCGGCGGACCUCGAGCACAGGUGCAAGCAGAUGAACUGCGGGGGCGUCCGCCGCUUCGUCAUCGUCCACUUGCGGGACGGCGGCGGCGAGUGGCUGCGCCAGGUGGUGCCGGGCGCGCUGCGGCGCGCCCCGGACCCCGCCGCGCUCGUUUUCCACGCCGUCGGCCGCUACUACAUCCGCGCCGAGAGCCCCGACGCGGAGGCCGCGUGCGCGCUCCUCCUCGAGCUGUACGUGCGCGCCGGGUGCCCGCGCCUCCGCCGGGGCCGGGGGAGCGAGGCGGCGGAGCUGCUGCUGCGGCAGGAGGCCCGCGAGGCCGCGCUCACGUGGCGCAGCCGCCUCCUGCGCGUCAGCGGCGCGGUCGGCGACGCGCCCGGCGCCGCGGGCGCCCGCGGCCUCGCUCUCUUCAUGGCUGCCUUCGGCGUGCCCGCCGAGUUCCCGGCGCAGGAGCUCUGCGACCUUGUCGACGCUGCCCAAGCCUCGGCCUGCGUCCAGGUGCUCAAGGCCUCCAAACUCUUCGCCAAGAAGAUGCGGGAUGUCGUUAUCGAAAUGAUAAACAAGGCCAUGUACCUUCAGGCGAUGCGCAUCAUCCUCGUAUUCGAAUUCCAGGAAGCUUUCCCUCUUGCACCAACACUCGCUCUCAUCAUCGAGAAACUUGAGCACGACACGAAAGACGAGAACGAGGGGCAGGCAUCGGAGCGCGAUGAGGACGACUUGGCUCUUUUGAGUUCAAUAUCCAAAUGCAUGGAGGAUCACAAGCUAUCUCCCUCAGAAUUCACUACCUUUGCUGCCAAGAUUGCGCUGCUGGAAGAGCGUGUUGGGAAGGCAAGACGACAAGCCUGUAGUACAGGAGCUAAGCGGAAGAGACCAGAGGAGUGUGUCGAGUAGAAUGCUCCCUGAAGCGAAGUUCAGUUUCACUGUCACGUAGAAUUUUCCUCACAAAAUAGUUGUAACUCUCCAGAUUGUAUGCAGACUAACCUUCACAUGUUCCAGUCUUACAGACAUGUACUACCUCUCUCGAAUAUUUGUCACCCGCUAGUUUAUUUUUAAAUAAACUAAACCGUGACAAAUAAAAAAGAACGGAUAGAGUAGGAAGUAUUUCUGAUAUAUAUAUCCUGAACUCAAACAACAAGGAUACAUCAUGUGGAUUUCUGAAC